UUCUGGGCCCGCCUCUGUCCCCUGCAGCCAACGCGGGCAGGUCUGCCGACUGCAUGCAUGGCUUCCCUGUCCCUGUAAACUCAAUCCUCCUGUUCGCUGUCCCUCUCUCUUUGCGUUUGCCGGUUGACUUGCGUAGCUCGGGCCCCGCGGAGGAUGGGUCCUCUGGAUGUGUGGGACUUGUCGCCUUUGCUGUCACUGUGGAUGAACAGGUUCUACAUAUAUAUGGGCUGUGCCCUGGGCCUUACCCUUUGCAUCUGUGUCCAGAUCAUCAAGAAGCAGGUCACUCGUUCCCAGGAGAAACGUGUCCCAGGAGCUCCUGAUAGCUCCCUCUCCCCUCAGAAGAAGCAGACACACGUUUCUGGAGUGAAGAUUUUUUACGGAUCUCAGACGGGCACUGCCAAGGGAUUUGCAGUGGUUCUUGCCAAAGCUGUCACCUCUCUGGACCUGCCUGUGGCCAUUAUUAAUCUGAAGGAAUAUGAUCCAGAUGACAGUCUGAUAGGAGAGAUCACUAGUAAAACCGUCUGUGCCUUCCUGGUCGCUACGUACACGGACGGCUGCCCUACAGAGAGUGCAGAGUGGUUCUGCAAGUGGUUAGAGGAAUCAGCUAAUGAUUUCCGCUUUGGCAAAACUUACCUGAAGGGACUUCGCUAUGCAGUGUUUGGCCUGGGAGACUCUGCCUACCGGAGCCACUUCAACAAGGUCAGCACGAACGUUGACAAAUGGCUCUGGAUGCUCGGUGCCCAGCGGGUGCUGACCCGAGGGGAAGGCGACUGCAAUGCAGUUCAGAGCAAACAUGGCAGCAUCGAGGCCGACUUCACAGCCUGGAAGACCAAGUUCAUCUCCCGGCUGCAGGCCCUGCAGAGAGGGGAGAAAAAGGCUUGUGGCGGGAACUGCAAGAGAGGGAAGUGUGAGUCGGCCCAGCAUGGCCCAGGAGAGGCGCGGCCUCACCCGCAAGGCGAAUUGCAUCCUGGGGAUGCUGAGGAGGAAGAGCCCUGUGAGAGCAGCAGCGAGGACGAGCUCGGGACCCAGGAUUAUCAGAGCCUGACUUCUGUGGUGGAUGUUGAGGACCUGGGCAACAUCAUGAACCCCGUGAAGAGGGAAAAGAGAGAAAAGUCUCAUCAGGACGGGAAAGCUGCCAUGCAGAGGAACCCAGAGAAGACUGAGGACGGCGAAGGAAGAGCUAUGAUAACACCUGCUCUGCGGGAAGCCCUGACUAAACAAGGGUACCAGCUGAUUGGCAGCCACUCUGGUGUGAAGCUUUGCAGGUGGACAAAGGUAUUUAUUGGUUUUAUUCAAAUAUUAUUUCUAUUUUCUGCAACUUAUUUAUUUUUGUCCAUUUAUUUUGUGUGUGCGCACAUGUGUGGCGGUCAGAGCACAGCCUACAGGAUUUGGUUCUCUUUGUGGGCUCUGGGGACCAAACUGUCUUUUAGUGUGACAGCAGCCACUUGGAUGGCUCCGGUAUGGUUCUCAGCAGUGCUGUUGUGGUAUACUUCACAUGCAGUACGUGGCUCACGUUAGUGUGUCGAUAGCUAUCGUCACAGUCUGACUUGAGGAUCCCUCUCUGGAAGACAGGCCAGCAUCAGCGUGCUCGAGUCUUCCCCCAGCUCUCAUGAGCCAUCGAUCUGCCCAUUGUCUCCACGUGAAGUGGCUCAUUUGACAUUUCAGAAGACUGGAGUCAUAGGCGUGGCUCAUUGCGCCGGCUGCUUUCUCUCACUGGUCUGAUGUUCCUGUGGCAGAGCUGUUGGGCACCAUGAAUCCGCGUUUGAUUCUCCACCGUGGCUGAUGGCAUUGUCUGUUAUUCCUUGUCUGUUUACUGAGACGUUGAUGGACACUGGGGUUGCUUGUGUGUUGGAUGUUAUGGGCGAUGGCUCCGGGGACAUCACUCCGUGGAUGGAUUUAUGUGGUGCACACUUCCGCUGUCGCUGGUGGAUCGCGGUGGCUUGUCUUUUUCCCCAAUGAAUUGUCUAUUUUUCAAAGCGACGGUUCAUUUUAUGUCCCCACCAGCAGUGUUCUGAGGGUCCUGAUUCACUCGCCACUCUCUGCAGUCUCCCUUCCCUACCCUUUUCCUGGUGAUGUCUACCUCCGUAAUCCAGGCUGCUCUCAAGUUUAUGAUCCUUUUGUCUCAGCCUAUGGACUUAUUUAUUUGCUUUUGAGGCCGGGUCACAUGUAGCUCUGGCUGAACUUGAAUUCAUUCCAUAGCUGAGGAUGACCUUGCUUCCCAAAUGCUGGGAUUACACAUGUAGUACCAUGCCCGGUUUGUGUGGUCUUGGGGCUUGAACCCAGGGCCUCAUUCCUGCCGGGUGAGCACUCUACCUCUGAGCUACAUCCCAAAGAAACUAUUUAAUUCUAACUGGUUCCUCUUCCUUCUAAGGUACAAAUAUUCCUUAGAAUAUUAGAAAGAGAUGUUUGCUCUGAUAGUUUCUGUUGCUCCGUCUCCUUUUGGUGGCCGCCCCACACGUUAGUUAAUGGUGGUUUCCACAUGUCACAUUCCCCAUUGUUCUCUUUUCCAGUCCAGUGACUUUCACUGAUGUCCAACUUGGUGCCUUCUGUGCACAGCCAGUAAUAAGCAGUGUCUUUUUUACCAUUGCUAAAUUCAAUUUUCAGAUAGUAAAUCACAUGCAUAAUUUUGAAAGUUCGUGUUUCAUCCAACCUAUAAUGAUAUGAAAGAGGAAGCACUUUAUGAUAAAUCUGUAUUUCCAUGUAGAAUGCUUAGAUGCCUUGGGGAGGGGCUGGCUGCUGCGUCUAGAUCUGCAGUCUCACUUCCUCCAAGGCCGGCUCCUCUUCCUCCUCUUCCUCUUACACUUCCCCCUCUUUCUUCUCAUCCUCUGUCUUCUCUCUCUUUUUUCUCUUUCUCUUUUUAUUCUUCCUCCUCCUCCUCCUCCUGCUCCUCGAUCCCUAUGUGUGGUGCUGAGCAUCAAGCUGGAGUCUCCUCAUCGGUGCUAGUCAGGCAUUUUAUCCCUGAGCCCUGCCAGCAGCCCUCCCACUCUAAGUGGAUCCGUUUAAAUCCGAGAAAGAUCAGAAGACGUUUCUCUACAUGGAAAGCAGUGAGAUGCUUACUUAUAUCUGUCGAUGCUGCGGGGGAGAGGAGGUUGCUACAAACACACAUUCUACGGCAUUGAGAGCCACCGCUGCAUGGAAGCCACCCCAAGCUUGGCGUGUGCGAAUAAAUGUGUCUUCUGCUGGCGGCACCAUACCAAUCCUGUGGGCACUGAGUGGCGGUGGAAGAUGGACCAGCCAGAAUUGAUCUUGAAGGAAGCCAUUGAGAACCAUCAGAACAUGAUUAAACAGUUCAAAGGCGUGCCAGGCCUCAAGGCGGAGCGCUUUGAAGAGGGGAUGGAGGUCAAGCACUGUGCGCUGUCACUCGUGGGUGAGCCGAUCAUGUACCCAGAAAUCAACAGGCUUUUGAAGCUGCUCCACCAGCACGGCAUCUCCAGCUUCCUUGUCACCAAUGCGCAGUUCCCUGAGGAGAUCAGGAAGCUCACACCAGUUACUCAGCUCUACGUGAGCGUGGACGCCAGCACCAGAGACGGCCUGAAGAAGAUCGACCGCCCGCUCUUCAAGGAUUUCUGGCAGCGCUUCCUAGACAGUUUGAAAGCCUUAUCUGCAAAGCAACAACGAACGGUCUACAGACUGACGCUUGUGAAGUGUUGGAACGUGGAUGAACUCCAGGCCUACGCUGAGCUGGUGUCCUUGGGGAACCCCGACUUCAUCGAGGUCAAGGGUGUGACCUACUGUGGUGAGAGUGCAGCCAGCAGCCUCACCAUGGCCAAUGUCCCUUGGCACGAGGAAGUGGUUCGGUUUGUCCGUGAGCUGGUCGAUCUGCUUCCCGACUAUGAAGUUGCGUGUGAACACGAGCACUCCAACUGCCUCCUGAUCGGACACAAGAAGUUUAAGAUCGAUGGAGAAUGGUGGACAUGGAUCAAUUACAGCCGCUUCCAAGAGCUCGUUCUGCAGUACGAAGAGAGUGGAGGCUCCAAGACGUUCAGCUCGAGGGAUUACAUGGCCAGAACCCCACAGUGGGCACUGUUUGGUGCCAGGGAAAGAGGCUUUGAUCCCAAGGACACGAGAUACCAGAGGAAGAACAAAACGAAGGACAUUUCCGGAUGUUGAGCUUAUCUGAGUUAAGGAUCUCCAAAGACAAAAGCUGCGUGGCCCCGGCAGGUCCUUGGCUGCCAUCACUGUCCACGGGGCAACGGUUCACAGCCGUACUUCAUGGUCUGACACCAGCAGGCAGCCAUGCUGCCCACACAGCAUCCACAGGUCGACGCUGCUUACCAGAACUCAUGCCCUUUAAAGAGUCAGUUUCUGAGACAGUGAAGGUGACAGUCACCUGAAUUUUUACAGUUUGGGUUUUAUUUUAGUAAUUUUCCUAAGUGCUAUCCCUGAGUGUUACACAGGGAAUAAACACUGCCGCCUCCGCCUCCUGAGCUACUGGCUUUGUCCUUACCUUCCUCUCUCCUCUUUAGAUCUGCUCUGCUUAGGUGGUACAGGCUGGGGCAUUCCCUCAUGACAGUGCUCCUGCCUCAGCCUGCUGAGAGCUGGGAUUACAGGCCAGCAUCUCCAGGCAGGCUCUCUGAGCUAUUGGCUCUUUGUAGAGUGAUCACUUAGUAUAUUUAGCUUAGAGUGCCCUGGGCUAAACCCUUCUACCCAUCCAAGGUAAGACCUCUGUUUAGAGUCACACCUGAAAAGGAUUGUUCAGUUUUCAAAGGUGUGUGUGUGUUUUCACAUGCAAAUGAGUGUCAUGUUCAUGGAGGCCAGCGUAGGGUGUCAGAUCCCCUGGAGCUGGAGUUACAGGUAGACACAUGGACAUAAAUAAAUGGUUCAGCUGCUGAAGGUG